AUUACUUUGGCAGAUAAGUGUAUUAAAUUUAGAAUUUAAUUAAUAUAUAUAUAUAUAUAAUGAAUAUUAAAAUAUAUAAGUAAUA
rnacentral:tRNA from 1 species